GACGAACGCUGGCGGCGUGCUUAACACAUGCAAGUCGAACGGAAAGGCCCUGCUUUUGUGGGGUGCUCGAGUGGCGAACGGGUGAGUAACACGUGAGUAACCUGCCCUUGACUUUGGGAUAACUUCAGGAAACUGGGGCUAAUACCGGAUAGGAGCUCCUGCUGCAUGGUGGGGGUUGGAAAGUUUCGGCGGUUGGGGAUGGACUCGCGGCUUAUCAGCUUGUUGGUGGGGUAGUGGCUUACCAAGGCUUUGACGGGUAGCCGGCCUGAGAGGGUGACCGGCCACAUUGGGACUGAGGUACGGCCCAGACUGCUACGGGAGGCAGCAGGGGGGAAUAUUGCACAAUGGGCGGAAGCCUGAUGCAGCAACGCCGCGUGCUGGAUGACGGCCUUCGGGUUGUAAACCGCUUUCGCCUGGGACGAAGCGUGAGUGACGGUAAUGGGUAAAGAAGCACCGGCUAACUACGUG
rnacentral:rRNA from 1 species